rnacentral:rRNA from 1 species
CCUACGGGGGGCAGCAGUGGGGAAUAUUGCACAAUGGGCGCAAGCCUGAUGCAGCCAUGCCGCGUGUAUGAAGAAGGCCUUCGGGUUGUAAAGUACUUUCAGCGAGGAGGAAGGCAUUAAGGUUAAUAACCUUGGUGAUUGACGUUACUCGCAGAAGAAGCACCGGCUAACUCCGUGCCAGCAGCCGCGGUAAUACGGAGGGUGCAAGCGUUAAUCGGAAUUACUGGGCGUAAAGCGCACGCAGGCGGUCUGUCAAGUCGGAUGUGAAAUCCCCGGGCUCAACCUGGGAACUGCAUUCGAAACUGGCAGGCUAGAGUCUUGUAGAGGGGGGUAGAAUUCCAGGUGUAGCGGUGAAAUGCGUAGAGAUCUGGAGGAAUACCGGUGGCGAAGGCGGCCCCCUGGACAAAGACUGACGCUCAGGUGCGAAAGCGUGGGGAGCAAACAGGAUUAGAUACCCGGGUAGUC